rnacentral:rRNA from 1 species
UACGGAGGGGGCUAGCGUUGUUCGGAAUUAUUGGGCGUAAAGAGCUCGUAGGCGGUUUGUCGCGUCUGCCGUGAAAGUCCGGGGCUCAACUCCGGAUCUGCGGUGGGUACGGGCAGACUAGAGUGAUGUAGGGGAGACUGGAAUUCCUGGUGUAGCGGUGAAAUGCGCAGAUAUCAGGAGGAACACCGAUGGCGAAGGCAGGUCUCUGGGCAUUAACUGACGCUGAGAAGCGAAAGCAUGGGGAGCGAACAGG